GAUGAACGCUGGCGGAGGGAAGAAUACAUGUAAGUCGAGCGAACAGACGAUUAGCUUGGUGAUAUGAAGUUAGAGGGUGAAGUGUGAGUAAAACUUGGAUAAAAUAAAUAUAAGAAUGGGAUAAAUUAGGGAAAACGGAGCUAAUACCGGAUAAUAUAUUGAACCGCAUGGUUCAAUAGUGAAAGACGGUUUUGCUGUCACUUAUAGAUGGAUCCGCGCCGCAUUAGCUAGUUGGUAAGGUAACGGCUUACCAAGGGAAGUAUGCGUAGCCGACCUGAGAGGGUGAUCGGCAACACUGGAACUGAGACACGGUCCAGAAGCCUACGGGAGGAAGCAGUAGGGAAUAUUCCGCAAUGGGCGAAAGCCUGACGGAGCAACGCCGCGUGAGUGAUGAAGGGAGUCGGUUCGUAAAACUCUGUUAUUAUGGAAGAACAAAUGUGUAAGUAACUAUGCACGUCUUGACGGUACCUAAUCAGAAAGCCCCGGCUCCCUACGUC
rnacentral:rRNA from 1 species